rnacentral:rRNA from 1 species
GAGUAGUAAAAGUUAGGGUCUUGAAACUUAAGAAAUUUGGCGGUAUUUUAUCUUUUUAGAGGAACCUGUUUAUUAAUUGAUAAUCCACAAUAAUUUUACUUUUUUUAAAAUACUUGUAUAUCGCUGUCAUGAAUAUAUUUUUAAGUAAAUUUUCAUUAAAGUUAUGUUAGGUCAAGGUGCAGUUUUAAAAGUUCAAAUGGGUUACAUUAGUUGAAUGGAUAGAAAAAGGAUUUAUUAGUAAAAAAAUAAGAUUUUAUGAAUAAAGAUUCUAAAAUAUG